rnacentral:rRNA from 1 species
UACAGAGGGUGCAAGCGUUGUUCGGAAUCAUUGGGCGUAAAGCGCACGUAGGCGGCUCAUCAAGUCAGGUGUGAAAGCCUGGGGCUCAACCCCAGAAGUGCACUUGAAACUGGCGAGCUUGAAUGUCGGAGAGGGCAGUGGAAUUCCGAGUGUAGAGGUGAAAUUCGUAGAUAUUCGGAGGAACACCAGUGGCGAAGGCGACUGCCUGGACGAACAUUGACGCUGAGGUGCGAAAGCGUGGGGAGCAAACAGG